AUUUUCAUAAUCACAGUGGCCAUCACAGUCUCCUGACUUUAAUAUCAUCAAGCCACUCUGUGGAGAUCUCAAAUGUGCGGUUUAUGCAAGACGACCAAAGACUUUGCAUGGCCUAGAGGCAUUUUGCCAAGCCGAAUGGGCAGCUUUACCU